rnacentral:misc_RNA from 1 species
AACGCACAUUGCGCCCCUUGGUAUUCCGAGGGGCAUGCCUGUUCGAGCGUCAUUAUAACCACUCAAGCCUAGCUUGGUAUUGGGGUUCGCGUGCCCGCGGCCCUUAAAAUUAGUGGCGGUGCCGUCUGGCUCUAAGCGUAGUAAUUCUCUCGCUAUAGAGUCCUGGUGGUUACUUGCCAGAACCCCCCACAUUCUUAGGUUGACCUCGGAUCAGGUAGGGAUACCCGCUGAACUUAA